rnacentral:sRNA from 1 species
AAGAGGUGGGAGGGCCAAGGUAGGCUGUGUGUUUGACGUCAGGGAAGAGGGCCUCGUGAUGGAAAAUGUGGGCAACAUAAGCAAAAACCAGAAUCAGGAAUUGUACAUCAGGUGGCACUUGCAUAACUUUAAAAACUGACAUAAUGUGUUUUGUUUUCCCUUUAUAGGAGUGGUAUAAUUCAGGAAAACCUUGUGUGUUUUGGCUGUCAGGUUUCUUUUUCACUCAGGCCUUUUUAACUGGAGCUAUGCAGAAUUAUGCCAGAAAAUAUACCACCCCUAUUGAUUUGCUAGGAUAUGAAUUUGAGGUUAUCCCAUCUGAUACAUCUGACACAUCACCAGAAGAUGGUGUUUAUAUCCACGGAUUGUAUCUCGAUGGCGCACGCUGGGACCGAGAAAGUGGAUUGCUUGCUGAACAAUAUCCCAAACUUCUGUUUGACCUGAUGCCCAUCAUAUGGAUAAAACCAACUCAAAAAUCUCAGAUUAUAAAGUCGGAUGCCUAUGUCUGUCCCCUCUACAAGACAAGUGAACGUAAAGGAACUCUUUCCACUACGGGACAUUCUACUAACUUUGUCAUUGCAAUGUUGUUAAAAACAAACCAACCUACUCAGCACUGGAUCAAGCGCGGGGUUGCUUUGCUUUGUCAGUUGGAUGACUAAAUUGGACAAAUGUAUAAAACAUCCAAAAGUUUUUUUAAAAAACCUGUCCUACUUAAAAUAUAUACAUUAUAAAA